rnacentral:rRNA from 1 species
AUUGAACGCUGGCGGCAGGCCUAACACAUGCACGUCGAGCGAGCGGCGGACGGGUGAGUAAUGUCUGGGAAACUGCCCGAUGGAGGGGGAUCACUACUGGAAACGGUAGCUAAUACCGCAUACCAUCAGAUGUGCCCAGAUGGGAUUAGCUCGUAGGUGGGGUAACGGCUCACCUAGGCGACGAUCCCUAGCUGGGGUGAGAGGAUAACCAGGCAAACGAGACCGGAGACACGGGCCAGACUCCUACGGUAGGCAGCAGUGGGAAAUAUUGCACAAUGGGCUGAAGCCUGAUGCAGCCAUGCCGCGUGAAUGAAGAAGGCCUUCGGGUUGUAAAGCACUUUCAGCAGGGAGGCGUUACCCGCAGAAGAGGCACCGGCUAACUACGUGCCAGCAGCCGCGGUGAUUC